rnacentral:lncRNA from 1 species
CAAUUGAUUAUUCAGUCUGUGGCCUUCUACUGAAGGAGCAUACAGAAUCUCACCUCCAGGAGCAUGGAGCUCUCUUGGAUAGGAUCCUGCUUUCUGAGGCCAGAGCUUACUCUCCUAUGUGAUCAGAGGCUUUCACAGCAUCCGCAGUGGUCUCCAGAUCAGCCCUAUCAUGGAGGCUUGGUCCAGAGAUCUUCAUAUGAAAAGGGAAAUAAUAAGUGUCUGGGAGACACUUCUGCAGGGAUCCUGCCCUGUCUCAAUAAUCUCCCCCAUGGCCACAGAAAUACCCUGGGAUUUUCCCAGGAGCUAGCCGACACACACAGAUAGAUUAUGAACUUCAGAUAGAAGCCCCAGCCUAGCCCUCACUCUGAUACCUGUCAUCCCCAAACUGCUCUGAAGUGCUUAUGUGCUGGUAUCUCCCAAGAGUCUGCAUGUCAGUGUGUCUGUGCUAGUGUAAUUUAUUUAGAAAAGUGCAAAGGCAAAGGGCAGGAUCAACAGGCAAAGGGCAGGAUCCUGGAGGCUGGAUCUAGGGUCCUCUUACCUGAUUUAUGUCACUGAUUUUCCCAAAUAUUGAUAAAAAUGAAUUGAUCUCUAGGUGGCAGAGAAACAGGAGGAACCCUAGACUACAUAGUAAGUAGAAAAUAAUGCUGCAUGUCAUUUAGAUUGAGCUCAGCCCUGAGUCAUGAAGUCUUCAGAACAAAGGAAUAGUUCUCCCUUAUCUGAUGCUCACUGUGGCCUUGGGCAGCCUGGCAUCGAGAAUUCUCAGCAUGUUCACUCUUGAGUUCUGUGCCUGCAUCACACAGCAAUGGAACAGUCCCAAAAGAUUCUUAAGGGUGGGGAAAGGCACUAAGAAAAGAUGAACCUGCAGUCCCUGUUAUACCAUCUGGUCUAAUUGAUACUACUGUUGUCAAGCAAAAGGAGCUCUCUCCCUGAGGCACUGGAAGCCAAUAUUUUGACACCAGGUUUUUGAGAAAGAAAAGUUUUUUAUUAUUCUGCCUGCCAGACUGAAACACAAAAAUACUCACCUGAUUCCUUCCCACUGCCAGGACAGCCCAGUUUGUGUGACGGUCAUAACAGCACUGUGUGGGAAGGAGGCAGCCAGACCCUGAGAUAAAGGCAGCACCAUCUUACAUUUCCAGCCACAGUAUCCAAGGGUUCCAAUUUCUCUGCAUCUUUGCCAUACCGGCUGUUUUUGCUAAUAGUGAUUGUAACAGAGUUGGUAGGGUAUGACCGUUGGCACCACCUGUGUCUGCAGUGUUUCAAGCCAUCAUGAUAAGCCCCAGGAACUACAGGUGUGUAGAAUUUAAAAUGAAUUAUCCAAUGUAUAUUGGGCUUUCCAUUUUUCUCUGCUGGACCCUGAUACAUUGAUAAAUACGAUUUUUUCCAGCCGGGUGCAGUGUCUCACACCUGUAACCCCAGCACUUUGGGAGGCCGAGGUAGGCAGAUCA